GACGAACGCUGGCGGCGUGCUUAACACAUGCAAGUCGAACGAAGUGGCGAACGGGUGAGUAACGCGUAAUCAACCUGCCCUUCAGGGGGGGACAACAGUUGGAAACGACUGCUAAUACCGCAUACUGAAUGAGGGGUUUGCGUCUGAUUAGCUAGUUGGGGGGGUAACGGCCCACCAAGGCGAUGAUCAGAAGGCGGGCUGAUAGGAUGAACGGCCCCAUUGGGACUGAGACACGGCCCAGACUCCUACGGGAGGCAGCAGUUGGGAAUUAUCCGCAAUGGACGAAAGUCUGACUGAGCAACGCCGCGUGAGUUAUGACGGCCCUCGGGUUGUAAAGCUCUUUUAAGCGGGACGCGGUACCGGAAGAGAAAGCCACGGCUAACUACGUGCCAGCAGCCGCGGUAAUUC
rnacentral:rRNA from 1 species